rnacentral:lncRNA from 1 species
GUCUGGCAUCGCGGCGCCUCCCUUGCUGCCCCGGGCCUGCUCUGGAGAUGCCAGUGCUGUCCCAGCCCCGCAGCGCGGCCUCAGCCUCCGGCCCGGCGCAUCGGCCGCACCACCUGCGCCCUGGACCCCGCCGCCCCAACCUGGCCCCAGAUGCUGAAGCCCGCAGCCGUCGGGAGCAUGGACCGGCCCCGAGGUGCGCGGGACGCAGGGGGCGCGCGCAGUCCGCCCUUCCUACCCGCAACCUCCCUCGCCUCUGCCAGCCCCGCAGGCGCUCCGGGCCUCCAGCUGCGGUCGCCGCUGCUCCAGCUGCGCGUGGCUUCCGGGAACCUCCUCCUCCGCGCCCGUCGUUGCAAAAUUGGAGAGAGGAAAAAGUGGCUUAAAAAAAUAGUUGCGGCCCCUUUAAGGCCUGUCGGCUUCCUUUCCCUUUUCCUCCCUCCGCCCCUCUCCCUUGGCUCGUACCAAAGCGCAGAGGAGGAGAGGGAGGAAGGAACCAUUAACGUCAAGCAAAGUUAGAAACGGAAAAGGAAAGGGUAAAAGAGAAGACCGAAUAAAAAUCUCUGCUUUCCUUUUGUGGAGGGUAUGACUUCCUGGAGGCAAAGAUAAGGCGAUAAAAUUCCUCCUCCUGAGUCUUUGCGUCCCCAAGAGGCCAGGAGAUUUGGUGCAGUCCUCACUUUACUCCCCGCCCCCUAAGUCUCCAGCCGCCUUUGCUCUCGCAGGCUCUAGGCGGCUAGAGAGGCUCCAGAGCGCCCUGCAGAUGGGUUGCUUUUCGCGUGCCCCUUGUGAUGGGAGGAUUAGGUCGCAGGCUCCACCCUACGUCAUCCUCCCAAGCUUCUCAAGCGUCUGGCGCUUGGGGUCACUGCCCUCAAGGAGGCACCUGGAGGGGUACGGAGGGGAGGCUGGAGGAGCAAACGGGGCGCGCUAGGAAAUUCCUCUGUCUUUAGUUCUAGAACCCCUGAUCUCCUAGCAACGAGGCUGCGGAACCUCUGCAGACUCCAAGGGUUUUAUAGCGUCCGGUAGCGACACGGAGCCGGCUCCCCCUUUUCCAGCCUUCCUCCCCAUCUCCCAUUCUCCAUCCCCCACGACCUAUACCAGAGGUCCUUAGGCCUCCACGUCUCUCCUUUUGCCGAGUAGCCCAAGGUUUCCACCCAUCUGCCAGGGGGAUGGCGUCCACUCCGAUGGGGAAUGAGGGGGAGAAGAAGAGCAGCUGGCCAUCUCAAGCUGCACCCUCCUUGAGAGGAGGUCCGCAUUCUUCACCAAGACCUGAGGCACAGACACCUGGUGAGUGAGGCUUCAAGGGAGAUGCUCUUUGUCCUGGGAGAGAGAACAUGCCUCAAAACUACUCUUUUGCCACUCGUUAACCACUUCCGUUUGUGGGGACCUCCUGGUCAUGAGCAGCAUCAUCCCGAAGCCUUCAAAGUGUUCUGGAUUCAUCACAGGACCCUCCAGCCUCAGCCAGCAAGGAUACCACCAGGAAUGAAAGUGCUUUAAUAAAGAGACAGGGUGUGCAUUGCUCAUGUGUGGUUUCUCUGGGGUAGAGAAG